GUCGACACACACUGGUCUUCGUAGACAGCGAGAGGCAGAGUCCUGCAACCCGGCUCUCUUUCUGAAAGCGGGAAUAUGUUCUAUGAUAGGAAGACACGAUGGCAGGUCCAAUGUCAAGCUGCUUGGAUGACCUUCGAGUCAGAGACUAGGUCUUGCUCUAUCACCCAGGUUAUGGUGCAGUGUGUGAUCAUAUAUCCCUCCAGCCUCAAAUUCCUGUGCUCAAGCGAUCCUCCAGCCUCAGCCUCUGGAGUAGCUGGGA